UGACUGCCUUAGUGUCCGCUUUAUAGAUUCGCUCGUACACUCGUUGGUUGCCUCAUUCGCUCGUUUAUGUGUGCAAUUGCAAUGCAGCAGCGCGCAUAACAACAAUAAAAACAAAUUUAAAAAAUUCAUAAAAUUUCUACAAUAACAAAGUGCAGGCAAAGCAAACAAUUGCAAAUAUUGAAAAAAUAUAUGGAAAGUGUUACACAAGUGUGCGGAAAGUGACCAAAAACAGUAAAAAAUAAACAUAUACAAUAACAACAACGUUUUGUUACAGUCACAGCGAAAAAAAUGAAAUUAUUAAUUUAACCGGAAACGAAUAGAAAUUAAAUCAGUGAAUUUAUGUGCCAAUACUCACACCAAUACAUACACAAAGAAAGCUAUUUAUUUAGUAUAUAAUAAAAAAUAAAACAAAAUUCCAAACACAUACAUACAAACUCAUAUGCAAGCAUAGCCAGUAUUGAAGUGAAAUGAAGUGGUAGUGCUUUGAAAAAGUUAUGAUUUCCUUAUGUUUUUGUUAUGAGUCAAUAUAAUCCAGAAACUGUCACCUAAACAGGCAAGCAACCAGACAACUAGACAACCAGGCAAUCAGUCGAACAACAACACAGCAACAGCAGUUACCACUGACGACUAUUAGUGAACAGAAAUGCUGAAAUAGCCAGCCACCUGAGUGCCAAAUAGACGCGAAGAAAUGUAAUUAUUGGUGGCUGUACGGCCAGCUGCUGACACAAAGCAACAAUAACAACACCAUACAGAAAUUGUAGCCACAACUACAACUAGCAAGAAAAUCGAUGUCAACCAUAUUAAUGGCUACAACAACAACAUUCACAACCUAACUACAAUCAAAUGCGUAUUAUACCUGUUCAACAUCCAAUUGCCGCAAAGCUUAAAGCCCAACUGAAUGCCACAAAUGCUAUUUAAAGCUAAUAUUUAUGUAACACUAAGAAAAGAGAAAUUAUUGCCAAUUUAUAAAUGCGCAAUACAAAUACAACAAGUGCCAUACACAAACAAAGAAACGCAGCUAAAACGUAACAACACGUAACAUAAAGUAACGCAACGUAACGCAACGAAUUCCGUCCAAUCAUACUGAGAUUCUUAGUGCCUUUUUACAAACAAAACAAAACUAAACUAAACAACACAAGUAUAAUAUAAACAAAAAAAAA
rnacentral:lncRNA from 1 species